rnacentral:ribozyme from 1 species
GACCCAGCAACCCUAUCCCUACCUCCUCGUAGUACCGACCGGAUACUACGAGCAACCUUAGGGAGGAUCCGGUAAUCAACCCCAUUGGGAACUUUGGUCGUAGGCUGAUAGGGAAGG